ACGUAUGGUGCAAGCGUUAUCCGGAUUUACUGGGUGUAAAGGGAACGCAGGCGGUACGGCAAGUCUGAUGUGAAAUCCCGGGGCUCAACCCCGGUACUGCAUUGGAAACUGUCGGACUAGAGUGUCGGAGGGGUAAGUGGAAUUCCUAGUGUAGCGGUGAAAUGCGUAGAUAUUAGGAGGAACACCAGUGGCGAAGGCGGCUUACUGGACGAUUACUGACGCUGAGGCUCGAAAGCGUGGGGAGCAAACAG
rnacentral:rRNA from 1 species